rnacentral:rRNA from 1 species
CAGCCGCCGCGGUAAUACCGGCGGCCCGAGUGGCGGCCACUAUUAUUGGGCUUAAAGCGUCCGUAGCCGGGUUGGUUAGUCUCCCGGGAAAUCUGGCCGCUUAACGGUCAGAAUGCCGGAGGAUACUCCCAGCCUAGGGAGCGGGAGAGGCCGAGGGUAUUCCCGGAGUAGGGGUGAAAUCCUAUAAUCCCGGGAGGACCACCUGUGGCGAAGGCGCUCGGCUGGAACGCGUCCGACGGUGAGGGACGAAGGCCAGGGGAGCAAACCGGAUUAGAUACCCGGGUAGUCCUGGCGGUAAACGAUGCGGACUUUGUGUCGGACAAGCUAUGAGCUUGUCCGGUGCCGGAGGGAAACCGUUAAGUCCGCCGCCUGGGGAGUACGGCCGCAAGGCUGAAACUUAAAGGAAUUGGCGGG